rnacentral:rRNA from 1 species
UACGGAGGGGGCUAGCGUUGUUCGGAAUUACUGGGCGUAAAGGGUGCGUAGGCGGUCGGGUAAGUCUGAUGUGAAAUCUCACAGCUUAACUGUGAAACUGCAUUGGAUACUAUCCGGCUAGAGGAAUGGAGGGGAGACUGGAAUACUUGGUGUAGCAGUGAAAUGCGUAGAUAUCAAGUGGAACACCAGUGGCGAAGGCGAGUCUCUGGACAUUUCCUGACGCUGAGGCACGAAAGCCAGGGGAGCAAACGGG